GAUUUUGUCACGUGACCUGAAGUCGGCCAUGUUGUUAAAACAGAAUUCAUUGUCAAUGGAAAUAAGAAUUUAGAGACCCGUGGAGAGUAUUUUAUAAAGGAGUUAUAUACGGACAAUGGAGGAUAAUGGGACCAAUGGGGAUAUUAACACUGACUCUGACCAGAGCCCUCUCUCAGUCAAGGAAUCAUCCAUUCAGCCCCUCUCAACAUCAAGGAAAGUCAUCCAGCUCAAGAUAGACAACCCACUCCUUACUAAUGGUGACGUAGACGAUGAUGUUGAUGAUCCAUUCUGUAUCAAACCUUCGGUGAUUAAACCACAAGAAAACUCAUCUCACUCCCAAGAUCUUCAAAAUGAUGAACCUAAACAGAAUGGACCUUCAAAGUCUAAAGAAGCAGAUGAGGUUUCCUCUGUGUCGGAUGAAAAAUCUCUACCUAAUGGUGAAAUUGCUUCACAGCUUACCUCAGAAAUAAAAAAUAAUGACUCUGACAAAAGUUCUAGUAGAUCAGAUGAAAUUAUGGAAGACAUCAGUUCUGAAAUGAAGGAAAUAGAGGGUUCAGAAAAAUCUCCAAAGGAGGAGAGGCUUGAUCAUUCCACUGAAAAAAUUGAGGAAGAUUUAGAUAAAUCCAAAGACUCUGAACAGUCGUCAGUGAAUGAAGACCUGGAACACAGUAAAAUUGCAAGCAAGCUGGACCUUGAUGUCGAAUCAGUCAAGUAUUUCAUGUCUACAGACAGCAAAGACAGCACUGACGAUGGCACAGCCCUCUCGCGAUCCGACAAGGUGGAUCUCAACGAGUCAGUCAUCAGUGUGUCCGAAGACAACUCCAGUGUUGUGGAGAGUAACACUAGUGAAGUGGUUCCAGAACUUAUCUGUUCUUCUGGGGAAGAGGAGCAAAGUGGUGGGGACUUGAAAAAAUCCGACGGGAUUAUCAGUGAACAUAAAGUAGAUAUAGCUGACAAGGUGGAUGAGAGCAAAGACAGUGAGAGAGCUGAAGUUGCCAUGGAGGUUGAUUCUCAUGAUGGUAAAAAAGAAUGUUCUGUGAAAGAUGACAGCAAAGAAAAAGCUAACUCUGAUGAAAAAAUUGACUCUGAUGGAAAAAUAUUUGAAAUGAAAAAAUUUGAUAAACUAAAAGAGAAUGAAAAGGUUAUGUGUCAGAAUAAAAAUGAACACUCUGUUGAUGGUUCAACAAAAAAGAAGAGGAGGAUGCUUCGGAAACUGUAGGAAAAGUGAAGGAUAUUGAUGGGUCGGACAUUUUAAUCACUAUAAAUGAAGACAGUGAUAAAGACGAAGAGUCCUCUUCACAAGUAGGAACAAUUGAUAUACCUAUUUCUUCAGUGCAGCAGAUGCCCCGUGUAACUAGUACUGUGAAAGAUGAUGUAGUGAUUGUAGACUUGUCAGAUGACAAACCACCACCUCCUGUCAAGCCUAAGCCUCCAGUAGUACCCAUCAAACCAGGAAUGGUUACUGUUGGACCAAAUGGACAACAUUAUGUUCAGCAUGUGAUUCAUUGCCUUGAUGGUCGCAAGCAAAUCAUUCAGGUCCCAGUGACCUCUUCUCAAAAUAUGGGCCCUACCAAGGUAUCGGGUGUGUACACCAGUCUCCUGAAUCGAGCCAUCGCUAGCAGUGUCUCCCACUCGCAGACCACACAGAAACAAAGGUCUCCAGAGGAGUACAUUCAUCCAGAUGACCUCAUUCCACAAUCCAGCAUGGAAAUGAUUGCCUUGGCGAAAUAUGAUGCAGUGCAUAAAAACUUUGACAACACAUUCUGGAGUGGUAGUUGUCCAGUGAAGGGUGACAUCAGUACUAUGACCAAGGUUCUACAGGACUUGGGAGGGGAUAUUGUAAAACAGUCUGCCUACAGUCAAAUUGUGGAAGUCCAAGGCAGGAAGGCAGAGCAAGGCAAACUAGGGGACAAAGAAAAGGAAAAUUUAGAGAGAAUGAAAAAAGUGGUGAAAGAGCUGAAAGAAAAAUACAAACAUUUGGAACUGAAUUAUACAAAAUGUGCUGGUUGUAACUUUGUUACAGAGUCCAAAAAUGUAAUGGCAUUUCAUAAAGAGCAUCCGCACAUGGACCCUCCGUUAGACCCUUAUGGAUUCUUAAAAUGUCCUCAGGAUGGUUGCGACUUCAAAUCAACCGCAAUACCAGAGGUGUAUGCACAACACAUGGAUGAAGAGCAUUCUGUGAAAGCCAGGAUCUAUGACAAACCAGAUCCCUUCAAAUGUCAUCUGUGCUUCUUUGAAACUAAAGCAAAAAGCAAUUUAACUCGGCAUAGAUUUAAAUGUGAUAAGCAAUUUAAGCUCGGCCAUAAUCUACAUCCAAGUUACGCAGAUAUCAAUUUCUGCUUAAAGAAUGCAAUGUACAAGUCCCAGAUAGCAGCAAAAAGUCGAAAUAACCAAGUCUUAACAGCAGCUCGACAACCAGCUCAGCCACCUAUGAUUCGGCCAAAGAUUGCCAUCACUAAGCCCACAGCACCACUUCUGCCACAGGGUCCGAGAAAUUCCCAGGUUCCCGUCAUGAUCCCUCUAAGUCAAGCUCAGAUGAGUCAGCUCAAAAUGCCAAAGGUUAGGCCUGGAAUGACACCAGUGCUGGUGCCCAUGGGCCCUGUGAACCAGAGUGUUGCAAUGAAACCCCACGCUCCGACAGUGGGGGAGAUGCUAAGACAGCAGAAACAGCAGCAGGUGGUGGUCAACAGACCGGUGGCUCCUAAACCUAGUGCUCCGUCAGGCCAACAGGCCGGAUUUGAAGUGUGUGAGAUUUGUGGAGGCUAUGUCAAAGACAGAAUGUCCCUGCAAAUCCACUUUUUCUAUGCCCACAAAGUGGAUCUUCCUGCUGUUCUAUUUCAAAAGAAUAGUCCCCAGUUCAGAUGCAAUGUAUGCCAAGCACCUUUCUGGACUGCCAUGGGAUUAACCAAACACAGACAAAGCUCAAGACAUUUUGACACUGUUAUCCAAUCAGCUAAGCCUGAAAUUAGGUGCUGGAUUUGUUUCCAACAGCCAGAUAAUCUUUAUUCUCACUUGCAAAGUUUCCACAAACUAAAUCCAAAUGAGUGCAUGAUUCUUAGAAGGUGCAUGUUUUGUGCAAUUCAAACAAGGACAAGGAAAGACUUGGAGCUGCAUAUGGCUACCACACAUGGAAUUCUCAUUAAAGGUACACCCUCAUCUGUUGCUACAAGUAGUUCUCAGCCCACAAAACCCCCAGCUGCUAGAAGUAACUUCUGUGUUUUCUGUUCAAAACAAUUCCCUGAUAACACCCAGCUAACUCUCCACUGUCUCCGAGACCAUGCUACGUGUUCAGGUUGCGGAAUGGUGGUGGCUAGAGCAGCAGACCUCGUUAAACAUGCCUGCAAGUCAACGGGCAGGAAGUGCCCUAUAUGUGGCUUGAAAAACCUCAAACAAGCAUUCUACAAUAAGCACAUACACACACAUCUAAAGAAGUGUUAUGUUAAAGUCAAGCGGUUGUCGGAGAAAGAAAUAGAAAAAGCAAUGGGUAAAGAACGCAAAGCAAAGAUGGAUCUCGAAAAACAGAGGGAAAUAUUCACUAAACUUGAGUCAGAGAUAUGGGAUGAAAUUCAGAAUAGGAAGAAGCGAGAUGAUGGAGAUUCUACAAACACCAAAAAAAGACGGAGUAAUGACAGUGACAAGUCAACCAGUAAGAAAGCCAAACUAGAAACGGACAGUCAAAACGUGGUUGUUUUAGAGUGAUGCUCAUCUCAUUAACAGUCAGGGAUUUUUUCACCAUUCAUUAUCACACAACACAAGAUCUAAUUUGCGUAAUGAAUUUUCAUUUAAUGAUUAUGUGCUAAUUAUUUUGGUAAUUGCCUCAACAUAGAAUUGGUGGUGCACUUCCAUUGUCUAAAACAUUCAGAGAUGUUUAGAUGUGUGCUGCACCGCAUAUAUUUUCUCUUGAAAAAAAUUAUCAUGAUGCUUUUUCUGCAAGUUUCUGAUCAACUCUUUUGGACAUGUGUUUUAAGUAAAAGCAUAAAUGUUGUGGAUUAAAUGUUUUAUGAAGUGUAA
rnacentral:misc_RNA from 1 species